rnacentral:rRNA from 1 species
AGUGGCGAACGGGUGAGUAACACGUGAGUAACCUGCCCUCUUCUUUGGGAUAACGCCCGGAAACGGGUGCUAAUACUGGAUAUUCACUGAUUCUCGCAUGGGGGUUGGUGGAAAGGUUUUUUCUGGUGGGGGAUGGGCUCGCGGCCUAUCAGCUUGUUGGUGGGGUGAUGGCCUACCAAGGCUUUGACGGGUAGCCGGCCUGAGAGGGUGACCGGUCACAUUGGGACUGAGAUACGGCCCAG